UACGUAGGGGGCAGCGUUGUCCGGAAUCAUUGGGCGUAAAGAGCGUGUAGGCGGCCCGGUAAGUCCGCUGUGAAAGUCUAGGGCUCAACCCUGGAAUGCCGGUGGAAACUGUCGGGCUAGAGUCCGGAAGAGGCGAGUGGAAUUCCGUGGAUGUAGCGGUGAAAUGCGCAGAUAUCAGGAGGAACACCAAUGGCGAAGGCAGCUCGCUGGGACGGUACUGACGCUGAGACGCGAAAGCGUGGGGAGCAAACAGG
rnacentral:rRNA from 1 species